rnacentral:rRNA from 1 species
CAGUCGCCACGGUAAUACGAAGGGGGCUAGCGUUGCUCGGAAUGACUGGGCGUAAAGGGCGCGUAGGCGGCUCAUACAGUCAGGCGUGAAAGUCCUGGGCUCAACCUGGGGUGGUCGCUUGAGACGUGUGGGCUAGAGUGGGGAAGAGGGUCGUGGAAUUCCCAGUGUAGAGGUGAAAUUCGUAGAUAUUGGGAAGAGCACCGGUGGCGAAGGCGGCGACCUGGUCCUUUUACUGACGCUGAGGCGCGAAAGCGUGGGGAGCAAACAGGAUUAGAUACCCCGGUAGUCCCUGUCUCUUAUU